CCUACGGGGGGCAGCAGUGAGGAAUAUUGGUCAAUGGCCGCGAGCCUGAACCAGCCAAGUAGCGUGAGGGAUGACUGCCCUACGGGUUGUAAACUUCUUUUGUCAGGGAAUAAAGUGAGGCACGUGUGCCUUUUUGUGUGUACUUUAUGAAUAAGGAUCGGCUAACUCCGUGCCAGCAGCCGCGGUAAUACGGAGGAUUCGAGCGUUAUCCGGAUUUAUUGGGUUUAAAGGGAGCGUAGGUGGGUUGUUAAGUCAGUUGUGAAAGUUUGCGGCUCAACCGUAAAAUUGCCAUUGAUACUGGCAGUCUUGAGUACAGUUGAGGUAGGCGGAAUUCGUGGUGUAGCGGUGAAAUGCUUAGAUAUCACGAAGAACUCCGAUUGCGAAGGCAGCUUACCAAACCGCAACUGACAUUGAUGCUCGAAAGCGUGGGUAUCAAACAGGAUUAGAUACCCCAGUAGUC
rnacentral:rRNA from 1 species